rnacentral:lncRNA from 1 species
UUCAAAAUCCAUUCGCCGUCCUGGGCGACACUCUGGGCCAGGCGAAGAGCCCGAGUUCAACUAAAAGCGAGUCGACCGCCAACGCUCAGAGCGGCACGUUUGAGGGCAGUUUCGGACCCUUCAAAUUCUCCGUCUCCAGUCGUCAGCCAGCUCCUCUUCUGGAAGCGGAAACGGACUGAGCGACACUGGUGCAGCUUCCUCCGCCGCUUCCGGUUCCUCUGGAGCCUCUUCCGGUUCCUCAGGUGCCUCUUCCGGUUCCCAGGCUGGCUCGCAUUCAGGAUCCCUAGUCCAUCCCCAUCACACAGACCACCUUCACCCACAUCAUUCGGACCCCACCACCUCUAUCCCCAGGGAUCCUCCAGUUCCAGCGCCAGCAGCUCCAGCGCGACCGGACACGGAAGUCCCGCCUCCACAUCCGGCUCCUCCGCUAACAGCCAAAGCUCCGCGGUCAACCAGGAGCCUUACGCUGAUCCCCACCGACACAAGGAAAAGCCCUACAAGUAUCCUAGCCGACCCUCCGGCUACCAGGAAUCGAAACCUGAGCACCACAACUCCGGAUACCAACCUCAGGAGAAACCCUACGGUCAAGGACACGAGUCGGGGUACAAACCCAAACCUGAGUACAAGCCUGACUCACAAAACCCCGGUUACCUGCCACAAUACAGACCCGAGCACAAGCCCGACUCGUAUAAUCCAGGUUACCAGCCGCAAUACAAACCCGAGCAAAAACCCGAAUACAAGCCCGACUCUUAUAACCCCGGUUACCAGCCCCAAUACAAGCCCGAGCAAAAGCCCGAGUACGGACACUACCCGGAGCACAAACCUGAGUACACAUCGGAGCACUAUCAGCCAGAAUACAAACCCGAACAUAAACCGGAGCACCACCAACCGGAAUACAAACCUGAGUCAGGAUCAGGAUACUCAGGUUAUCGACCUGAAGAGAGGCCGAACCCGUACGACCACGAAUACAAGCACAAGCCCGUUGACGCACCCGUUGACGAGCCGAGCAAGAUCCACUCGCACGCCACCAGCUCGAGCUCGAGCAGCAGUCAGAGUGGGGUCGUGAUCCCGGUUACGGAGAUCUCCAAGGAGCACCCUCAUCCCACCCACGAGCAGGGUACUUACGAGUAUGUUAGGGGUCAGACCCCCGAACAAUCGGCCAGCAGCACGGACAAGAGCGAGUCCGAUUUCGCGGUGCACGUCACGAAACCUAUCGGCUCGAAGGUCACGCCCGAGGGAGAGGUGACCAAACCGACGGGGUCCCUCGACGUCCGGACGUCCGUCGUCAGCACGGACGAAACGAAGAACGGCGUCAAGACGUCCGGGAUCUCCGUUUCGAGCAGCGCCAGCGCCGGUGAUAAACUCGUAUUUUCCAACUGA